rnacentral:rRNA from 1 species
AGUGAACGCUGGCGGUAGGCCUAACACAUGCAAGUCGAACGGCAGCACAGUAAGAGCUUGCUCUUACGGGUGGCGAGUGGCGGACGGGUGAGGAAUACAUCGGAAUCUACUUUUUCGUGGGGGAUAACGUAGGGAAACUUACGCUAAUACCGCAUACGACCUACGGGUGAAAGCAGGGGAUCUUCGGACCUUGCGCGAUUGAAUGAGCCGAUGUCGGAUUAGCUAGUUGGCGAGGUAAAGGCCCACCAAGGCGACGAUCCGUAGCUGGUCUGAGAGGAUGAUCGGCCACACUGGAACUGAGACACGGUCCAGACUCCUACGGGAGGCAGCAGUAGGGAAUAUUGGACAAUGGGCGCAAGCCUGAUCCAGCCAUGCCGCGUGGGUGAAGAAGGCCUUCGGGUUGUAAAGCCCUUUUAUUGGGAAAGAAAAGCAGCAGGUUAAUCCCCCGCUGUUCUGACGGUACCCAAAGAGUAAGCACCGGCUAACUUCGUG